AUUGUUAGCCUAUGCCUUUUUAUAACAACUUAACAGAGUUUACUCUCACAUGGUCGCCCACUGAAGCUAAGAAGGGCUGUGCCCGGUCAGUACCUGGAUGGGAGACCACAUGGGAAAGCUAGGUUGCUGCCGGAA
rnacentral:rRNA from 1 species